rnacentral:rRNA from 1 species
GACGAACGCUGGCGGCGUGCCUAAUACAUGCAAGUUGAGCGCUGAAGGUUGGUACUUGUACCAACUGGAUGAGCAGCGAACGGGUGAGUAACGCGUGGGGAAUCUGCCUUUGAGCGGGGGACAACAUUUGGAAACGAAUGCUAAUACCGCAUAAAAACUUUAAACACAAGUUUUAAGUUUGAAAGAUGCAAUUGCAUCACUCAAAGAUGAUCCCGCGUUGUAUUAGCUAGUUGGUGAGGUAAAGGCUCACCAAGGCGAUGAUACAUAGCCGACCUGAGAGGGUGAUCGGCCACAUUGGGACUGAGACACGGCCCAAACUCCUACGGGAGGCAGCAGGAGGGAAUCUUCGGCAAUGGACGAAAGUCUGACCGAGCAACGCCGCGUGAGGGAAGAAGGGUUUCGGAUCGUAAAACUCUGUUGGUAGAGAAGAACGUUGGUGAGAGUGGAAAGCUCAUCAAGUGACGGUAACUACACAGAAAGGGACGGCUAACUACGUG